rnacentral:rRNA from 1 species
ACUGAACGCUGGCGGCAUGCCUAACACAUGCAAGUCGAACGGGGCAGCAAUGCCUAGUGGCGGACGGGUGAGGAAUACGUAGGAAUCUGCCCUUAAGUGGGGGAUAACCAGGGGAAACCCUGACUAAUACCGCAUGAUCUCUUCGGAGCAAAGAGGGGGACCGCAAGGCCUCUCGCUUCUGGAUGAGCCUACGUCUGAUUAGCUAGUUGGUAGGGUAAAGGCCUACCAAGGCGACGAUCAGUAACUGGUCUGAGAGGAUGAUCAGUCACACCGGAACUGAGACACGGGCCGGACUCCGACAGGGAGCAGAAGUGGGGAAUAUUGGACAAUGGGCGCAAGCCUGAACCAGCAAUGCCGCGUGUGUGAAGAAGGCCUGCGGGUUGUAAAGCACUUUUGUUGGGAAAGAAAUCCAGCUGGUUAAUACCCGGUUGGGAUGACGGUACCCAAAGAAUAAGCACCGGCUAACUUCGUGCCAGCAGCCGCAGUAACAC